AUGUUGCUGCGGUUGAAGGCUCGCAGUUUGACUUUACGGUAAUUCCAACUUGGCGGGAGAGAGGAAGUGCUCUGAGACGUUGGUCAUGCGCUUCACUGUGUGUGGGCCGUCUCUUUACAAGGGGCACAUGACUCUCUCCCUCAAACCCUAUCGAUCAUAUUGACUGGUAUUCCAACACUACUUUAUGUUGUGUUGUGUGGUAUCGGUUGAGACACCUUGAGUAAAUCAGAGUGCUUAAAGCAGUCGUUGUUAACGCUUCGACUCUUCGGAGAUCUUGGUGAUGUGAGGUGUGAUGGUUGAGUAUCUUCAGCUGUCACACUCUAAGACAUUGUCUUUGCUUUGCAUGGUACGUCGAAACAUGCCAUAUGAGUUGGUCGUGCUUACGUGUCCAAAUGGCAACAUUACAGAUGCGCGUGCACCAACGAGUAUGGAAUGAGCUGAGAGGGAUGGAUCAAUGUCAUUGGUAUUGCUGGGCGAGAGGUGAAAUUCUAUGACCCUAGCAAGACUACCUGAAGCGAAAGCGUCUGGCAAGGACGUCUUCAUUAAUCAUGAACGAAAGUUGAAGGAUCGAAGGCGAUCAGAUACCGCCCUAGUUGCAACCGUAAACAAUACCAACCAUCAAUCCGCCUCAGUGUUCCCUCUUGUCGGUCGGUUUGGCUGUUGUUAACCCUUCAGUUGGCUGUAUCGCGAGUGUAAGCACGGGGCGGGCGGCUCUUUUCGGAACGGGAAACCAGAGUGUUUGGGUUCCGGGGGGAGUCUGGUUGCAAAGCUGAAACUUAAAGGAAUUGACGGAAAGGCACCACCAGGCGUGGAGCUUGCGGCUCAAUUUGACUCAACACGGGAAAUCUCACCAGACCCGAACAUCUUUGGUGAUUGACAGACUGAGAGCUCUUUCUUGAUGAAGUGGAUGGUGGUGCAUGGCCGUUCUUAGUUGGUGGAGUGAUCUGUCUGGUUAAUUCCGAUAACGAACGAGACUCUCUCCUGCUAAUGAACACGUUCUGGCGGUUUUCUUAGACGCUGUGAUUCGAUUCAACAUAGACACUCAGCAAUGAGACUAUGGGACGAUGUCCAGUGCCUUAUCCUUGGUGCUUGCUGGGCGCGGCAUCUCAUGUAUGCUUAGCUCUCUUGUGCCUCGGAGUGCGGUUUAUCUUCUUAGAGGGAUUGACGACUCUUACCAAGUCGUAAGAAACAGGGAGCAAUAACAGGUCUGUGAUGCCCUUAGAUGUUCUGGGCUGCACGCGUGUUACAAUGCCGGUGUCAACGGGUUUCAACCACUAGACUAACUAGUGGUGCCUUCUCCGAAAGGAGCGGGUAAACCUUUCAAACACCUUAGAGUGUAGGCUGUCUUUUCAGUUUCACACUCAGCUCAGGCAUACUUGGGACUGGGGAUUGCAAUUAUUCCCCACGAACUAGGAAUGCCUUGUAGUGGCGGGUCACAUAGCCCGCUGCGAAUCUGUCCCUGCCCUUUGUACACACCGCCCGUCGCUACUACCGAUUGAGUGUACCAGUGAGAGUUUUGGACUGGCGAACCAUACACCCUCACGGGUGUGUGGCGAACGACAUGAAGAGAUACGAACUGGUGCACUAGAGAA
rnacentral:rRNA from 1 species